UAAGGUCGCUAUGAGUCGGCCUCGACUCGAUGAUACAUCCCCAUCGAAGAGCUAAACUGAAAGAAGAUGGAUGAGGAUGUGGAGCCACCGGAAGUUUCAUAGAUGGUUAUUGGGGAUAUAAAAUAGCAUAACCACUUUGGAAACAGUCUGGCAGCUUCUUAGGACAUUAACUGCAGAUCUACCAUGUACCAGUACGUUCACUCCUACGUAUUUACCUGAGAAAUUAUUUACCUGAGAAAAAUGGUAGGCUGGUAAAUAUAUAACAACGAGCUCCCU